UGGGGAAUUUUGGACAAUGGGCGAAAGCCUGAUCCAGCAAUGCCGCGUGCAGGAUGAAGGCCUUCGGGUUGUAAACUGCUUUUGUACGGAACGAAAAAGCUUCUCCUAAUACGAGAGGCCCAUGACGGUACCGUAAGAAUAAGCACCGGCUAACUACGUGCCAGCAGCCGCGGUAAUACGUAGGGUGCAAGCGUUAAUCGGAAUUACUGGGCGUAAAGCGUGCGCAGGCGGUGAUGUAAGACAGGUGUGAAAUCCCCGGGCUUAACCUGGGAAUUGCAUUUGUGACUGCAUAGCUAGAGUACGGUAGAGGGGGAUGGAAUUCCGCGUGUAGCAGUGAAAUGCGUAGAUAUGCGGAGGAACACCGAUGGCGAAGGCAAUCCCCUGGACCUGUACUGACGCUCAUGCACGAAAGCGUGGGGAGCAAACA
rnacentral:rRNA from 1 species